rnacentral:misc_RNA from 1 species
UAGUCGUAACAAGGGUUCCAGUAGGUGAACCUGAUGAAGGAGCGUUGUGUGAGCCGAAAGGUGACCACAACGUGUGCAUUUCUCUCCAAACCCAUGUGAACUCUGUAUUCGUGACUUGUACACUUUUAUCAACAACGUUGACUGUGCUUCUCUGACUGUGUCAAACUGUCUUCUCGCUAACGUGACGUUGACAUCAAAACCAACAUAUCACAACUUUUAACAACGGAUAUCUUGGCUCGC